GUCUCUUUGUUAUAUAAAGAUAGGGAGUCUGGCCUGCCCAGUGACUGAAAAGUUAAACGGCUGCAGUAUAUAUGACUGUACAAAGGUAGCGUAAUCAUUUGCCCUUUAAUUGGGGGCCCGUAUGAAUGGCUUGACGAGGGCAUGACUGUCUUUUUGUGAAAUACAUAGAAAUUAUUUUUUAGGUGAAAACUCCUAAGUCUUGUUGGGGGACGAGAAGACCCUGUUGAGCUUUAGUGAUAUUUUUAAUAAUACGUUAUAAAGUUUAUAUUGAUGAUUAGAAAUUAAUCUUUAGUUGGGGCAACUAAGGGGCAAGUAAAACCCCCUUUAAUAUAAAUGUGGUUGAUGAAUAUUAGAUCCAAUAUGUUUGUAUUGAUCUAGAGAAUAAGUUACCAUAGGGAUAACAGCGCGAUUUUUUUGGAGAGUUCUUAUUGAUAAAAGAGUUUGCGACCUCGAUGUUGGACUAAGAUACCCCAAAGGUGCAGCAGCUUUUAGUGGUUAGUCUGUUCGACUAUUAAAAUCUUACG
rnacentral:rRNA from 1 species